rnacentral:lncRNA from 1 species
UCCUGACAAUUUGAAACCUGGUGAUCUGGUUGGAGUAAACAAAGACAGUUAUUUGAUAUUGGAUACUUUGCCAUCUGAAUAUGACUCUCGGGUUAAGGCAAUGGAAGUUGAUGAAAAGCCAACUGAGGACUACAACGAUAUUGGAGGCCUGGAGAAACAGAUUCAAGAACUUGUCGAGGCAAUUGUUUUGCCUAUGACACACAAAGAACGAUUCGGACUACAAUGAUAUUGGAGGCUUGGAGAAACAGAUUCAAGAACUUGUUGAGGCAAUUGUUUUGCCUAUGACACACAAAGAACGAUUCCAGAAAUUAGGCGUUCGUCCUCCAAAGGGAGUCCUUUUGUAUGGGCCUCCAGG